GAGGUAGAAGUGAGGGGGAGGAGCAGUGGUGGCGUGAGGGAGCGUCGUCGUGGUACUACAGGCAGCCGCCAUUGUUUUGUGGAUCAUGCACUCGGAUAACGUGGAUCAGAGAUUCGAAGAAAGUGGAAGAGAUAAAGAAGAAAGGAAAACAGUUGGGAUUUUGUGUUGAGAGAGAGAUUGGGGGAAGAAGACCGAGUCAGAGAGCGAGUGAAGUGAGUGAAGAAGUGGGGAU
rnacentral:lncRNA from 1 species